rnacentral:rRNA from 1 species
UACGAAGGGGGCUAGCGUUGUUCGGAAUCACUGGGCGUAAAGCGCACGUAGGCGGAUGUGCCAGUCAGGGGUGAAAUCCCGGAGCUCAACUUCGGAACUGCCUCUGAUACAGCACGUCUUGAGUCCGGAAGAGGUGGGUGGAAUUCCUAGUGUAGAGGUGAAAUUCGUAGAUAUCGGGAGGAACACCAGUGGCGAAGGCGGCGGCCUGGACUGAUACUGACGCUGAGGUGCGAAAGCGUGGGGAGCAAACAGG